GCCAGCCGCCGCGGUAAGACGGAGGGCGCAAGCGUUGUUCGGAAUUACUGGGCGUAAAGCGCGGGCAGGUGGUCUGUAAAGUCGUUUGUGAAAACCCGGGGCUCAACCCCGCGGAAUGCAGACGAUACUGGCAGACUGGAGAUCGGUAGAGGCUAGCGGAAUUCCAGGUGUAGCGGUGGAAUGCGUAGAUAUCUGGAAGAACACCUGUGGCGAAGGCGGCUAGCUGGGCCGAGUCUGACACUCAUCCGCGAAGGCGUGGGGAGCAAACAGGAUUAGAUA
rnacentral:rRNA from 1 species